GUGGUGAAGUGGAGGUGUGACGCUCCUGUCGCCUGUAAACUCCUCUCUUCGUGUUUGGUUCUUUGUUAUUGUUCCAUAGAUCUUUGGUGUAUCGCCUGUCCCGUCGCAAUACUCUUACGGAUUACUGCUGCCGUUGUCAAAAGAUGAAGGAAGGCCCCCGUGGCUGCUGACGCCCUGGACCCGCGCGCAGGAAGCCCCGCUGUUAUGCCGCAGUGAAGCCUCGGGCGACGGGCGCGAGCGAGGGCGGGAGUGAGCGGGCGGAGGCGGAGGCGGCGAAGGCGGACAGGUGUCAUGGUGGUCGGGGAGGUCAUGAGCAGAGUGACGCAGCUAUAGUCCAGGGUUGAAGAUGUCGUGGCUGGGCGGGGACGACCCCGGGGGUGGGUACGGGGACGACUACCCGUGGUGGGCGCCCGAGGACGGCCACGGCGCCCGCGACAACCGGACGUGGGAGGAGCGCUGCUACACGCUCGACUACGACUACCACGUGGUCACCGCCGUCAUCUGCGCCAUGUUCCUCGUCUUCGGGGUCGUCUACAGCCUCUU